rnacentral:misc_RNA from 1 species
AGUCGUAACAAGGUUCCGUAGGUGAACCUGCGGAAGGAUCAUUACAAUAAGCUGGUAGGAAAGUUGGGGUCAUUGCAUUGCUUGCUUAAGGUUGGAUGAGAUGGGCUAGGAAAGCCAGGUAACCGGACGUUCCGGGCCUUGCCCCUCCCGGGAAAAUUGGCUUCCCAUUUUAACCAAUUGGUUUCCCCCCCAACCAAGGCCCCUUCGGAAAAGGGGCCCCGGCAAAAUUUUAACAAAGCCCCUUUGGAAUUUCAUUCUUAACCACCUUUGUUGGCCUUUGGGGUUGGCUCAAGUGCCCCAGAGGCACCCAACCUCUCUUGCAUUUAGUGACGUCUGAGUACUAUAUAAUAUUUAAA